rnacentral:rRNA from 1 species
UAGGGAAUCUUCCGCAAUGGGCGAAAGCCUGACGGAGCAACGCCGCGUGAGUGAUGAAGGUCUUCGGAUCGUAAAACUCUGUUACUAGGGAAGAACAAAUGUGUAAGUAACUAUGCACGUCUUGACGGUACCUAAUCAGAAAGCCACGGCUAACUACGUGCCAGCAGCCGCGGUAAUACGUAGGUGGCAAGCGUUAUCCGGAAUUAUUGGGCGUAAAGCGCGCGUAGGCGGUUUUUUAAGUCUGAUGUGAGAGCCCACGGCUCAACCGUGGAGGGUCAUGGGAAACUGGAAGACUGGAGUGCAGAAGAGGAAAGUGGAAUUCCAUGUGUAGCGGUGAAAUGCGCAGAGAUAUGGAGGAACACCAGUGGCGAAGGCGUCUUUCUGGUCUGUAACUGACGCUGAUGUGCGAACGCGUGAGGUUCAAACAGG